UGACCCUAACCUGGAGAUCUGACGGGUUCUCCGUCGUCCGAUCGACCCAGACCACCGCACCACCGCCAUUCCAACCAGACUUCUUCUCUCUUGCCAUCUCUAGAAACCAUUCGAGCUUUAAGCCCCUCUAGAAGGAGAAUCGAAGCCGAGUUCUUCUUAGUGUCGUGCCGAGCAACCUGAUUCGGUCUCACAAUUCCAGCAAUUUUCGGCCAAGAGAUUAGUUGGGUUUUGAAGCCCUUGAUGCACUGAUCAUCCCGAUAUCCACCUUGUUGCCCAAUUCGAUCAAAGGUGGGAUAAUCAACUCCUUGAAGUCUUUGGCUGCUAAAAGCUUUCGAAGCAAAUUAUGGCCGAUCUAGGUUGAAUUGACCUUAGCUCUAGUUAUAGAAAUUGAUCUCCAUUUGAUGAUGAACAUGUUAGUGUAAAUUUCUUGCUCCAAAUUCGAAUUUGGUAUGGCGGCGCAUAGGGUCCACACGCAACCAUUUGUGACGGCGCGUGGGGACAAGACCGGCAGUUUCUUGUCCUUUGCUUUGGUACAUUUGAGCUUCAAACGCAGGAAAUGAGUUAUCAAGAGCUGGAAAUGAGAGAAAUGAAGGCAAGGAAGAAAUGAGACGCGAAAAUGAACAAGAAAUGGAGAAAUGUAGUUUUCCCAAUCCGACUAGGAGAAGGAAUCCCAGUUGUAGGAAUCCUGAGUCAACUAGGAGUGAACUUAUGGAAAUGAUGAUCAAAAAUGAGAAAUGACAGAAUCCCAGUUAGACAAGGAAACCCAUUCCUACCAGGAAAAGGAAACCUAACAUGACUAGGAAUCCCUGUUGCACUAGGAGAGCUCAAGAAGGUUCCAGAACAUCUCGGAAAUGAAGAAUCCUAAUCAGACUAGGAAAUCUGUUGGCACUAGGAGUCCUGAUCACACUAGGAGACCUGAGAGGCUUCAAUAUGACUCAAGAUAGUUCAAGAAUGUUCUAGAAGACCAAGAAUGGCGUCAUACAUGAAGAUGGGCUUUGAAAUUGUCCAAAUGAAGAAGUCUGGCCCAAAAAUUGAAGCACGUGACUUCCAUGUGAUCUUCUAGACUAUUCUUGACAUCUCAAAGGAAUAAUUAUCCUAAAAUAAUUCUUUUUGCCGUGAAAAUAGAGAGAAGAUUAAAGAAGAAUUCGGCAAGAGUCAAUUUGGGAGAGUUUGGGAGAAAAUCUAAUUCAUGUGCAAUCAGGAAAGGAAAAUAAAAGAGAAUAAUUAUCAAUUUAGGUUUACUGAUUACAUUUUACAUGCAAGUUGGCUGAAAUAGGGUCUAGAUUCAUUGGUGAUUUCGGCAAUCAAGAGGAACAUAUGGAUUCUACUUCUUAUGGAAUAUUUUGAUUGGUCGAAUGAUGCAGGACAAGUACAGAAAGACUUGGACACCAAGCCUAGCCAUGCACUAUAUAAGGAGGCGAGGGUGAGACAUAAAAAUCAUAAUCAAAACCCAGAAUCAAAAUCGAAAUAUCUCCCCUUUACUCUCAAGGUUUCAGCCCCUCUCCAUUGUUCAAGACUUGAAGCCGUGAAGCAAAGUUCCAUUCUCCAUUCACCAUCCUUGCCGUGAGCCUCAUCAUCCUCCACCACCUUUGAAGACAUUCUUGCAUUCUUGAAGGUUCUUUAAAAGUGUAACCAUGACCUCUAUUCUUUUGUUUUCGGUUUCUAUAUAUGUUUUGUAACUUUAAAAACAGAUUCUAUAGCGUUCUAUGUUUUUGUUUUGAAUGGAUGUUUCGAAUCUUUGUUAGAAUGAAGAGUAUGUAUUGAUGUC